CUGUGCUAGAUGGGGAGCUAGCGGUGCCCUGUAACCUGCAACCCGCUCCAGCAGGAUCGAACUCCCAUUCUGAGGUCUGCUUAUUUCCCUGCACUUCCGUGGUCAGCAACGUUGAUCAUUCAAGCCCCACGCAAUAGAAAGGUGCCCAACCCCGCCAGGAUCGGAAGAGAGCAACGGUAAGCAUUCUGACUUUGUGCCGUGGGAGUACUUGAACGGAGUUGUGAACCGCGGUCCCAGGAAACAGAGGGAUCGAAGAUGGGUGCACAG
rnacentral:SRP_RNA from 1 species